rnacentral:rRNA from 1 species
UACGUAGGGUGCGAGCGUUGUCCGGAAUUAUUGGGCGUAAAGGGCUCGUAGGCGGUUUGUCGCGUCGGCUGUGAAAACCUAGGGCUCAACCCUGGGCCUGCAGCCGAUACGGGCAAGCUAGAGUUCGGUAGGGGAGACUGGAAUUCCUGGUGUAGCGGUGAAAUGCGCAGAUAUCAGGAGGAACACCGAUGGCGAAGGCAGGUCUCUGGGCAUUAACUGACGCUGAGGAGCGAAAGCAUGGGGAGCGAACAGG